rnacentral:tmRNA from 1 species
GGGGGCGCCCUGGUUUCGACGGGGAUUGAAGAUGCCGGAGUGGCAGGCCGAGGCGCCGCUGGCCUCGUUAAAAGCGGCACAAAAGUAAUUGCCAACGAUAAUUACGACUACGCACUGGCUGCUUAAUUGCAGUCACAUCCAUGCAGCGGACGCCUGAUAGGCUGCACGGGUGACAAAAAGCAUCAGGCUGGCUUCCGAUGGCGUUUGCCCCUGAGGAAGUAAGAACUUUCAGACAAACUGGCUGCAAGCCACCUGGUCAUGGGUAACACUUGCAGCGAGAUUAUGAACAUGACCUAAGCCUGUAGAAGCUUCGAGCGGACCGUUCUCGGACGCGAGUUCGAUUCUCGCCGCCUCCACCA